UACGGGGGGGGCAAGCGUUGUUCGGAAUUACUGGGCGUAAAGGGCUCGUAGGCGGCCAACUAAGUCAGACGUGAAAUCCCUCGGCUAACCGGGGAACUGCGUCUGAUACUGGUUGGCUUGAAUCCGGGAGAGGGAUGUGGGAAUUCCAGGUGUAGCGGUGAAAUGCGUGGAUAUCGUGAGGAACACUAGUGGCGAAGGCGGGUCUCUGGACAGUAUCUGACGCUGAGGCACGAAGGCCAGGGGAGCGAACGGG
rnacentral:rRNA from 1 species